CUUACCAGGGAGAUGUAUCAUGCUUGUCCUGUGACAUUACAUACCAUUUUUCUUUUUCAGUAAAUAUUUAUUCUGCAUGUGUUCCAGACCUGGCCGUCGUCCUCCCAGAACUCACAGCCCCCGGAGCAAACAGCACUCCUUAUAAAAAUGAAUGAGUGAAUAAAUAGCUACAAGAAAACCACAGUAGCAGGGCUAUGACCCAGAAGGAUAACAGGAGAGAAGGUGAACAGGCAGCCAGCUGGUUCAGCACAUCAAGUCGCAGAACGGAAGACCACCAAGAAAGAACCGGUCCAAUUCUGUAAGGCUUAAUAAUCUCUUCCUGUUUCAGGGCAAAAUGAAUUAUGCUCCGUCUUCUUUGCUGCUUAAACUUGUGUUAGUUCUACCAACGUACUAACCAGAAGAGUGCCAAACUGCACUGGUGAGGAAUGUAAACUUUUUGAAUUGCCACGGCUUCCC